rnacentral:rRNA from 1 species
GGGAUGAACGCUGGCGGCGUGCUUAACACAUGCAAGUCGAACGGUGAAGCAGGAGCUUGCUCCUGCGGAUCAGUGGCGAACGGGUGAGUAACACGUGAGCAAUCUGCCCUGGACUCUGGGAUAAGCGUUGGAAACGACGUCUAAUACCGGAUACGAGACGCGAAGCAUCUUCAGCGUCUGGAAAGUAAUUUCGG